UCGAAGCAAUCGGAAGUGGUUCCAAGAAAAGCCUCUAAGCUUCAGUCAUACGAGACCGUACCGCAAACCGACACAGGUGGGCGAGAUGAGUAUUCUAAGGCGCUUGAGAGAACUCGGGAGAAGGAACUCGGCAAAUUGGUACCGUAACUUCGGGAAAAGGUACGCCCUUGUAGNUUGACCACUUUACUGUGGAAGGNUGAACGGGUUGCAAUAAACUGGUGGCUGCGACUGUUUAAUAAAAACACAGCACUCUGCAAACACGAAAGUGGACGUAUAGGGUGUGACGCCUGCCCGGUGCUGGAAGAUUAAAUGAUGGGGUGCAAGCUCUUGAUUGAAGUCCCAGUAAACGGCGGCCGUAACUAUAACGGUCCUAAGGUAGCGAAAUUCCUUGUCGGGUAAGUUCCGACCUGCACGAAUGGCGUAACGAUGGCCACACUGUCUCCUCCCGAGACUCAGCGAAGUUGAAGUGUUUGUGAUGAUGCAAUCUACCCGCGGCUAGACGGAAAGACCCCAUGAACCUUUACUGUAGCUUUGCAUUGGACUUUGAACCAAUCUGUGUAGGAUAGGUGGGAGGCUUUGAAGCGGGGACGCCAGUUCUCGUGGAGCCAUCCUUGAAAUACCACCCUGGUUUGUUUGAGGUUCUAACCUUGGUCCGUUAUCCGGAUCGGGGACAGUGCAUGGUAGGCAGUUUGACUGGGGCGGUCUCCUCCUAAAGUGUAACGGAGGAGUUCGAAGGUACGCUAGGUACGGUCGGACAUCGUGCUAAUAGUGCAAUGGCAUAAGCGUGCUUAACUGCGAGACUGACAAGUCGAGCAGGUACGAAAGUAGGACAUAGUGAUCCGGUGGUUCUGUAUGGAAGGGCCAUCGCUCAACGGAUAAAAGGUACUCUGGGGAUAACAGGCUGAUUCCUCCCAAGAGUUCAUAUCGACGGGGGAGUUUGGCACCUCGAUGUCGGCUCAUCACAUCCUGGGGCUGUAGCCGGUCCCAAGGGUAUGGCUGUUCGCCAUUUAAAGUGGUACGUGAGCUGGGUUCAGAACGUCGUGAGACAGUUUGGUCCCUAUCUGCCGUGGGCGUUGGAAAUUUGAAGGGGGCUGCUCCUAGUACGAGAGGACCGGAGUGGACAGACCUCUGGUGUACCGGUUGUCACGCCAGUGGCAUUGCCGGGUAGCUAAGUCUGGAAGAGAUAACCGCUGAAAGCAUCUAAGCGGGAAACUUGCCUUGAGAUGAGAUUUCCCAGAGCCUUGAGCUCUUUAAAGGGUCGUUCGAGACCAGGACGUUGAUAGGUCAGGUGUGGAAGUGCAGUAAUGCAUUAAGCUAACUGAUACUAAUUGCCCGUACGGCUUGUCC
rnacentral:rRNA from 1 species